AAAGUUGAAAGUUUAAAACCUAGAGAAAGGGAUUUUGAUAAUUGAGAACAUUUUGAAGAGAGAAAUCUGAGGCGUUAUUGGUAGCUAAGAUUUUGGCGCGGCGGAUUCUGUGUUACGUUCUGCUCUCCAACAUCCUUUGUGUUCGCCGCCAACUUGGGAAUCUCAUUGAUCCUUCAACCAAAACCCUCCGUUUGUUUGCGUGAUUCUUAAGGAAUCCAGUCAACUCAAGUCCACUCCAAUCUUACGUUUAUACAACUGUUUUUCCUCGCCGGAAUUUAGGGUUUCCGUCGCAGCUCUAAGCUGCUCCGCUUCCAACCCAUAUCUUCUCCUCUGGGUAUGACCCUGUUCAUCUGUUUUUCCAAUCUUUGAGGAAACAGAAUUGUCAGUUGUUCCACAGUCCCUAAUGGGUUUGUUUGAAGCCGUUCAAUGAGUUGAGAGAGUGAGAGCAUGGCGAGACAGCUGCCCCAGAAUCAUCUUGCGAAUCACAUUCCAGGAACUACCCCUAGCCUUUGUGUGCAGGAGGAGCAUCUGAUCUCUGCACGAAAAUGGUAUUUCUGCAAACAGGAAAUUGAAAAUCAUUCGCCCUCUAGGAAGGAUGGAAUUGAUUUCAAGAAAGAGUCUCAACUGCGGAAGUCAUAUUGCUCAUUUCUGCAAGAGCUUGGAAUGAAACUGAAAGUGCCUCAAGUAACAAUUGCAAGUGCCAUGAUGCUAUGUCACCGGUUCUAUAUGCGUCAAUCCCAUGCUAAAAAUGACUGGCAGACAAUUGGAACAGCAAGUAUAUUUCUUGCCUGUAAGAUUGAGGAAACACCUCGGUUUCUGAAUGAUGUUGUUGUUGUGGCUUAUGAGUUGACAUUCAAAUGGGAUCCUUCCGCCUCUAAAAGAAUUAGACAAAAAGAAGUUUUCAAUAAGCAAAAGGAAUUAAUCUUGAUUGCGGAGAGGCUUCUACUGUCAACACUUGCAUUUGAAGUUGAUAUUCAACUUCCCUACAAACCACUUGUUGCUGCUCUAAAAAGAUUGGGAAUGGCAGCUGACCUUGGGAAGGUGGCCUGGAAUUUUGUAAAUGAUUGGCUUUGUACAACGCUGUGCUUGGAGUACAAACCCCAUUACAUUGCUGCAGGCUCGAUAUUUCUUGCUUCCAAAUUUCAAAAGGUGAAAUUGCCUUCGGAUAAGGGAAAGGUUUGGUGGAUGGAGUUUGAUGUUUCGCCAAAACAGUUACAAGAGGUUAUACAGCAAAUGUUGAAGCUAUUUGAGAAAGAUAGAAAACAAAGCCUACCACCUUCAAAAGAGAAACCUCAUCAGCCAGAAGGUUUAGAUGGACAGACAAGGGUUGAUAGUUCCCAAUCAUGUAUAUCCAGUGUGACAGUUUCUGAUCAGAGUCAUGAAGCCAUGACAGAGUCCAGUGGGUGCAAUAAGUCUUUAAUACCUAAUUGUUGCCAUAAUCAGCAAAAUAUAAACCACAGCAUCAGUCCUGCGGAAGUUUUACCCUGCCAAACAAGCGACACGGGGAGUUCAAGUAGUGUCAUUGAGAAUGGUGAUACAGGGAUUUGUCAGAAUACUGAGGAAAAUUAUUUUGAUCAGAUCACACAGUCAACAAGUGUUUCUAUUCCAGUUUCUAAGGACUGCAAAAAGAUAAACUUAUUUCAAAUCAGAGAGGCAAUAAAGAGAAGACGACUUUCUAGAGCUACAAGUACGAAGGAAGUACUGCCCAUGAAUCCAGACAUUGAUGGCGAAGCAUGGAUAGAAAAAGAGCUGGAACAGGGAAUAGAGCUAGAAUACGGAUCCUCAUUGAAUAAGAAAAGAAAGGCAUCUUGAAAUUGGGAAUGAAUUUCUACUUACGGAUAAAGUAUCAUCAAUAUUUUUCUUGUCAGAGCUUUUGAUUAAUUCCAGAAAUUCUUCAAACUGGAGAAAAACUGAAUGGUACUAUAUUGCUAUUAUUUCUUUGAGUAGGUAUGAGCAUUGUGAAAGCCAAAAUUACAUUGAAGGACCCUAGGGAAAUGGAAAAGCCAGGCUUGUUGAUAAUGAAGCCUAGCACAUUCGACUUUAGAGUAAACCAGUGAGUUCAGAACCAUCUCUAAGAUAUAUAUACUUGCAUUUUUUUCCCUUCUGAUAAUUACUCAUCUGCCUGCUUGAUUGGGAUUUAGAAGAUAAAGUAUUGGAACAACAAAAGCUGAAUUUUCAAUCUUGAUUGAUGUGGAAAAUGUGGAUUACACUAUGAAAUCACUUCACUCAUAGAACAGGAAAAGGAGUGAGGCCCCUACUAGUUUUUUCUCAGGUAAACAGUUGAAUAACAAACCACAAAGUAUUUGUAAAUUCAGCAAGCAUAUUUGAUUUGUUGUAUUGUUUUUUCUCCCUUCCUAAAUUAUUAUUAUUUUUAGGGAAGGGGUUAAUGAGAGUAUGGUUUAUUUUUUGACCCCUACACCUAAGUUGAAAACUAUGACUUUGUACUUUAUAAAGGGUACACCUUUUACUGAGUGACGUGAUGGACCCACGUGCUAUAAAGUUCUCAAUCAUAGCUAA